GCGGGCGUAGUUAAGUGGUAUAACGUCUCCUUGCCAAGGAGAAGGCCAUGGGUUCGAAUCCCAUCGCCCGCU
rnacentral:tRNA from 2 species